AUUGAACGCUGGCGGCAUGCUUUACACAUGCAAGUCGAACGGUAACAGGUCUUCGGGUGCUGACGAGUGGCGAACGGGUGAGUAAUGCAUCGGAACGUACCCAGAGGUGGGGGAUAACGCAGCGAAAGCUGUGCUAAUACCGCAUGUGAUCUGAGGAUGAAAGCGGGGGACCGAGCAGCAAUGUUUGGCCUCGCGCCUUUGGAGCGGCCGAUGUCGGAUUAGCUAGUUGGUGGGGUAAAGGCCUACCAAGGCGACGAUCCGUAGCUGGUCUGAGAGGACGACCAGCCACACUGGGACUGAGACACGGCCCAGACUCCUACGGGAGGCAGCAGUGGGGAAUUUUGGACAAUGGGCGCAAGCCUGAUCCAGCAAUGCCGCGUGCGGGAAGAAGGCCUUCGGGUUGUAAACCGCUUUUGGCAGGAACGAAACGGUGUCCGCUAAUACCGGGCGCUAAUGACGGUACCUGCAGAAUAAGCACCGGCUAACUACGUG
rnacentral:rRNA from 1 species